UACGUAGGGUGCGAGCGUUAAUCGGAAUUACUGGGCGUAAAGUGUGCGCAGGUGGCCGCGCAAGUCGAGUGUGAAAUCCCCGAGCUUAACUUGGGAAUUGCGCUCGAAACUACGUGGCUCGAGUGUGGCAGAGGAAGGUGGAAUUCCACGUGUAGCGGUGAAAUGCGUAGAGAUGUGGAGGAACACCGAUGGCGAAAGCGACUCACUGGACCGACACUGACGCUGAGGUGCGAAAGCUAGGGUAGCAAACGGG
rnacentral:rRNA from 1 species